AGCAAAAAAUUGUAAGUCAAGCCAUCCUAAGUUGUGGACCGUCUGUAUCUCUCUAGUGCCUCCCAGAAGACCUGGCACCUGGGUGGAAAGAGUUUACUCACAGGCCCAAGGUCAGUGCUGGAGUCUACAGAGCCGGGAAUAAGAUGCGAGAUACCUGAGUUCCAGCUUGUGUUACAGCUGGCCCCGUGACGCUCCAGCUCUGAGCUCCUUGAACACGGAAAGACAGACUGAUUCAAGCCUGGCUCACGAGCCCCUGGGGCUGGCCACUUUGGAGAGGAGUCUCCUGACCUGUACCCAGCAGAGACUGAGGAAAUAACCACAUGGCCCAUCCAUUGAUGCCCUCUGGUCCUUGUGCUUUGUCCAGCUAUGGUACCGGGACAGAGCGGAUUUUGGAGCGUGUUCUGAACAGUGGACUCAGUGACCCACGGACCGUCAGAAGAACCUGAUAUCAACAGAUGAGAGAAUUGAGGAGGCAACAGGAGGGGAACAAACCUCUACUAUGAGCCACGCUUGCCUUCAAUCAUGCUAUUUCUCUUUCCCAGCGUGGAUCCAGCUUUUCAGAAUACCCCAGUACUCCCAUACCCACAUGGGUCUCACACUUGGGAACAUCACCCAGAAUUGCCUUCUAAGGACAUUCAAAUUAGGAGAGAACUUUGUCUACAACCUGUCUGUCCUCACUUUGCCAUCAAUAAAAAGACAUCAGCUCUCCUCUGGCUCUGUGUGUUCUGUAACUCUGACAUGGACCAGAAACAGAAGAACCUUGAAAUGAAUCGGGCCCAUAUGGAAAUCUCUACUCUAAGAAAACUUUAAAGAAGGCAGCCCCCAAAGCGUUUGCCCUGGAAACCUUCAUCACCCCCUGGAAGAGGACCACUCUCCCACUCAGAGUGAUGUCCUAUUUGAGUUUGGUAACACAGAGCCAAGGUCAGUCUGGUGUUUCUCACUUUACAAAUUCUCAUCUGUCAAGAGAUGCUGAAGGCACCAUUCACAAUCAAGUGUACCCCAAGGCCAUCAACAUUUAAAACUAGCCAUUGUUUACCAAGUUCUGUCAACCAGAAUUGGAUAUUUCUUACAUUUGUUUGUUUGAGGAAAAAGUUAUUUUGCUCUCUCUAACCAUCCAUUCUGCAAAAUGGAGAAAGUGUUUAAAUAAACAAAUUUCACAAAAUAGUCC
rnacentral:lncRNA from 1 species